UACGAAGGGGGCUAGCGUUGCUCGGAAUCACUGGGCGUAAAGGGUGCGUAGGCGGGUCUUUAAGUCAGAGGUGAAAUCCUGGAGCUCAACUCCAGAACUGCCUUUGAUACUGAGGAUCUUGAGUUCGGGAGAGGUGAGUGGAACUGCGAGUGUAGAGGUGAAAGUCGUAGAUAUUCGCAAGAACACCAGUGGCGAAGGCGGCCACCUGGACAGUAACUGACGCUGAGGCGCGAAAGCGUGGGUAGCAAACAGG
rnacentral:rRNA from 1 species